AUGGGGAUGGCUCAGAGCCGAGCCCGGAGGUUUUGCAUCCCUCGGCUCCCUUCGGUUCUGCGUCCUGAGCGCCUCAGGUCUGCUGCUGGCAGGCUCGACGGCAGAGCUGAGCCGCGGGGCGCAGCCGGGCGGCAGCGGCAGCGGCCGGACAGCGUCACACGGUGCCACGGCGUCACACGGUGCCACGGUGUCACACAGUGCCACAGUGUCACACACAGAGUGUCACACAGUGCCACGGUGUCACACACAGAGGGUCACACAGUGCCACGGCGUCACACAGUGCCAUGGUGUCACACAGUGCCACGGCGUCACACGGUGCCACGGUGUCACACGGUGCCACGGCGUCACACACAGAGUGUCACACAGUGCCACGGCGUCACACAGUGCCACGGUGUCACACGGUGCCACGGCGUCACACGGUGCCACGGUGUCACACAGUGCCACAGUGUCACACACAGAGUGUCACACAGUGCCACACGGUGCCACCGCGUCACACACACAGUGCCGGUGUCACACACAGAGUGUCACACACAGAGUGUCACACAGUGCCACACGGUGCCACCGCGUCACACACACAGUGCCGGUGUCACACACAGAGUGUCACACACAGAGUGUCACACAGUGCCACACGGUGCCACCGCGUCACACACACAGUGCCGGUGUCACACACAGAGUGUCACACACAGAGUGUCACACAGUGCCACACGGUGCCACCGCGUCACACACACAGUGCCGGUGUCACACACAGAGUGUCACACACAGAGUGUCACACAGUGCCAAACCGUGUCACACAGUACCACACAGUGCCACAGUGUCACACACAGAGUGUCACACAGUGCCACAGCGUCACACGGUGCCACGGUGUCACACAGUGCCACAGCGUCACACGGUGCCACAGUGUCACACAUAGAGUGUCACACACAGAGUGUCACACAGUGCCACAGGUGCCACCGCGUCACACACAGCGCCACAGCGUCACACACAGUGCCACAGUGUCACACAGUGCCACCGUGUCACACACAGAGUGCCACAGUGUCGCACAUAGAGGGCCACAGUGUCACACAUAGAGUGUCACAUUGUCACACAUAG
rnacentral:lncRNA from 1 species